rnacentral:rRNA from 1 species
UACGAAGGGGCUAGCGUUGCUCGGAAUCACUGGGCGUAAAGCGCACGUAGGCGGCUUUUAAGUCAGGGUGAAAUCCUGGAGCUCAACUCCAGAACUGCCUUUGAUACUGGGAAGCUUGAGUCCGGGAGAGGUGAGUGGAACUCCGAGUGUAGAGGUGAAAUUCGUAGAUAUUCGGAAGAAACACCAGUGGCGAAGGCGGCUCACUGGCCCGGUACUGGAC